rnacentral:tRNA from 1 species
GUUAAUAUAGUUUAACAAAACAUUGGGUUGUGGGCCCAAAGAUAGAAGUUCGACCCUUCUUAUAGACC